rnacentral:rRNA from 1 species
UACGGAGGAUCCAAGCGUUAUCCGGAAUCAUUGGGUUUAAAGGGUCCGUAGGCGGUUUUUUAAGUCAGUGGUGAAAUCUGGUCGCUCAACGAUCAAACGGCCAUUGAUACUGCAAGACUUGAAUUACUGGGAAGUAACUAGAAUAUGUAGUGUAGCGGUGAAAUGCUUAGAUAUUACAUGGAAUACCAAUUGCGAAGGCAGGUUACUACCAGUGGAUUGACGCUGAUGGACGAAAGCGUGGGGAGCGAACAGG